GCCGGGCGUGGUGGCUCACGCCUGUAAUCCAAGCACUUUAGAGGCCAAGGCGGGUGGAUCACCUGAGGUCAGGAGUUCAAGACCAGCCUGACCAACAUGGUGAAACCCUAUCUUUU
ensembl:misc_RNA Metazoa_SRP Metazoan signal recognition particle RNA